rnacentral:rRNA from 1 species
ACGCUCGACACCUACGGCAGCAGUGGGGAAUAUUGCACAAUGGGGGAAACCCUGAUGCAGCAACGCCGCGUGAAGGAAGACGGUUUUCGGAUUGUAAACUUCUGUUCUUAGUGAAGAUAGUGACGGUAGCUAAGGAGCAAGCCACGGCUAACUACGUGUCAGCAGCCGCGGUAAUCUGAGCGGGCUGGCAAGGC